GAGAGGGACAACAAUGGAGAUGAG
rnacentral:siRNA from 1 species